UAGAUCUUACUUUCAGGGAUCAUUUCUAUAGUUUGUUACUAGAGAAGCUUCUCUGGACACGUAAAAUACUAGAUCUUUGCAAACUUUCUGAUUAAUUUAUUUAGCAAUAUUUAUGGAGUAUCUGCUAUAUUGGCAUUCACAUGGUUCUUAGGAGGGGUACAAAAAUUAUGCCUCUGUGGAGU
rnacentral:snoRNA from 1 species